rnacentral:hammerhead_ribozyme from 1 species
ACACUACUGAAGAGUCCCAUACUAGGACGAAACGAUUGUCCAGUGC